rnacentral:rRNA from 1 species
UACAGAGGGUGCGAGCGUUGUUCGGAAUUAUUGGGCGUAAAGGGCGCGUAGGCGGUGCGGUAAGUCACCUGUGAAAUCUCCUGGCUCAACUGGGAGCUUGCAGGCGAAACUGCCGUGCUGGAGUGUGGGAGAGGUGAGUGGAAUUCCCGGUGUAGCGGUGAAAUGCGUAGAUAUUGGGAGGAACACCAGUGGCGAAGGCGGCUCACUGGACCGGAACUGACGCUGAGGCGCGAAAGCGUGGGGAGCAAACGGG